GCCAGGAUAGUUCAAAGGUUAGAACGUGAAUCUCAUAUAUUCGAGAUGUGGAGUUCAAUUCUCCCUCCCGGCU
rnacentral:tRNA from 1 species